AUCUGUCUUUUCUUGUCUAAGUCUCGGCAAGAAAGCGAAUAAGCGUAUUUCCCAAAAUGUUGAACUAUUCC